GUCAGAAGUGAGCCGAUCACGGAGGCAAUACCAAACCAGCUAUCGUGCAGGAAGCGUGGAGCACCUCUGGUCGCAGUGCUUUCUCUGGGUGCGGGCAAGAAUCAAUAAAUAGACAGAGCAGAAAAACAGAUCUUGGCUUUUCCUGUUCGAAUCACCUUACGCAAACGCAUUAGAGCAUUGGUGAGUGCCGCUGCAACAAAGCCUUACCGGGGCUAACCACUGGACGGCAAAACCGACGAGAGAGCUGGUCGUCAUGUUUUUUUAUGUAGAACUCGCGUUGCAAAUAGAGAAGUGGCCAGGGUAACGAUGCGCCAUGUUGGCCCAGUUCUUUCAACUUUGUUCUCUAACAAUCUGUGCAGAAAGAAACGGAAGGGACUACUAUGUCAGGAGCUUCCAUUCGUGUAUGGAUGUUCAAGGGCUGUCCAUUUUUAAAAAUAAAAUAUUUCUUGACAUUAGAUAACGCCC